UACGUAGGGGGCAAGCGUUGUCCGGAAUCAUUGGGCGUAAAGCGCGUGUAGGCGGUUCGGUAAGUCCGCUGUGAAAGUCGGGGGCUCAACCCUCGGAUGCCGGUGGAUACUGUCGAGCUUGAGUACGGAAGAGGCGACUGGAAUUCCUGGUGUAGCGGUGAAAUGCGCAGAUAUCAGGAGGAACACCGAUGGCGAAGGCAGGUCUCUGGGCAUUAACUGACGCUGAGGAGCGAAAGCAUGGGGAGCGAACAGG
rnacentral:rRNA from 1 species